rnacentral:rRNA from 1 species
UACGUAGGGGGCGAGCGUUGUCCGGAAUCAUUGGGCGUAAAGAGCGUGUAGGCGGCUUGGCAAGUCUGACGUGAAAGCCCGCGGCUCAACCGCGGAUUGUCGUUGGAAACUGCCUCGCUAGAGUCCGGAAGAGGAGAGCGGAAUUCCUGGUGUAGCGGUGGAAUGCGCAGAAUAUCAGGAAGAACACCCGUGGCGAAGGCGGCUCUCUGGGACGGUACUGACGGCUGAGACGCGAAAGCGUGGGGAGCGAACAGGAUUAAGAAACCCUUG